rnacentral:rRNA from 1 species
AUUGAACGCUGGCGGCAGGCCUAACACAUGCAAGUCGAACGAGUGGCGGACGUGUUGGUAAUGUCUGGGACACUGCCUGAUGGAGGGGGAUAACUACUGGAAACGGUUGCUAAUACCGUAUACCAUCAGAUGUGCCCAGAUGGGUUUUGCUAGUGGGUGGGGUAACGGCUCACCAAGGCGACGAUCCCUAGCUGGUCUGAGAGGAUGACCGGCCACACGGGAACUGAGACACGGGCCAGACUCCUACGGGAGGCAGCAGUGGGGAAUAUUGCACAAUGGGCGAAAGCCUGAUGCAGCCAUGCCGCGUGUAUGAAGAAGGCCUUCGGGUUGUAAAGUACUUUCAGCGGGGAGGCGUUACCCGCAGAAGAAGCACCGGCUAACUCCGUGCCAGCAGCCGCGGUAAUUC